rfam:Salmo salar isolate Sally breed double haploid chromosome ssa07, whole genome shotgun sequence.
UGUAUUCACUACUGUAAGUCGCUCUGGAUAAGAGUGUCUGCUAAAUGUUGUGAU